rnacentral:rRNA from 1 species
GCAGUCGCCGCGGGAAUACGGAGGGUGCAAGCGUUACUCGGAAUCACUGGGCGUAAAGGACGCGUAGGCGGAUUAUCAAGUCUCUUGUGAAAUCUAACGGCUUAACCGUUAAACUGCUUGGGAAACUGAUAAUCUAGAGUAAGGGAGAGGCAGAUGGAAUUCUUGGUGUAGGGGUAAAAUCCGUAGAGAUCAAGAAGAAUACCCAUUGCGAAAGCGAUCUGCUGGAACUUAACUGACGCUAAUGCGUGAAAGCGUGGGGAGCAAACAGGAUUAGAUACCCCCGUAGUCCCUGUCUCUUAUAC